rnacentral:rRNA from 1 species
CCUACGGGGGGCAGCAGUGGGGAAUAUUGCACAAUGGGGGAAACCCUGAUGCAGCGACGCCGCGUGAGUGAAGAAGUAUUUCGGUAUGUAAAGCUCUAUCAGCAGGGAAGAAAAAAGACGGUACCUGACUAAGAAGCCCCGGCUAACUACGUGCCAGCAGCCGCGGUAAUACGUAGGGGGCAAGCGUUAUCCGGAUUUACUGGGUGUAAAGGGAGCGUAGACGGCGCGGCAAGUCUGAAGUGAAAGGCAGGGGCUUAACCCCUGAACUGCUUUGGAAACUGCCAUGCUAGAGUGCUGGAGAGGUAAGUGGAAUUCCUAGUGUAGCGGUGAAAUGCGUAGAUAUUAGGAGGAACACCAGUGGCGAAGGCGGCUUACUGGACAGUAACUGACGUUGAGGCUCGAAAGCGUGGGGAGCAAACAGGAUUAGAUACC